rnacentral:rRNA from 1 species
GACGGAUGGUGCAAGCGUUGCUCGGAAUCACUGGGCGUAAAGGGUGCGUAGGCGGCCGUGCAAGUCUGGCGUGAAAGCCCCGGGCUCAGCCCGGGAAGUGCGCUCGAAACUGCGCGGCUCGAGUGCCGGAGGGGAGAGUGGAAUUCCAGGUGUAGCGGUGAAAUGCGUAGAUAUCUGGAGGAACACCGGUGGCGAAGGCGACAUCCUGGACCGGUAUUGACGCUGAGGCGCGAAAGCCAGGGGAGCAAACGGG